AAAUGACUUAAUGUCUAAGGAGAAGGCUAAUUUGGAAGGGAGUGAUACUGGCACAAGGAGGCAAUAGGAGACUACCAAAUCAGGCUUGUGACAUGGGCAGAUUUGCAAAGGUGGUGCUACUCACCAGGAAAGAGAAAAGAGCCACAUGGGAGCUGCAAGUUUGGCAGGCAGAAUACGUAGGAUUGGUUUAUUGUUUCUGCUUUCCAGUAUAGAAUGAUGCAUACCCUCAAGAGAAUCUGCUUGUUGUGGUUUCUGAUUUACAUAGAGGAUGAGAUUGGCUCCAUGUCUGAAAAACAGUAUGUGGGGAAGGCAUGGAGAAGCAAUUGAACUGAAACAAAGUCAAAAGUGGGAAGUCACCCUCUGGCAAGCAGCUCUAAGAUGACAGAGCCGGUGCCAGAAUCUAAACCUUGGGACUCUGGUUGCUGUAUAAAAAAAUAAAUUUUAGGAACAAAAAUAAAUACCCACAUCUCCAUGCUGGACAGCAGAAGAGCAA
rnacentral:antisense_RNA from 1 species